rnacentral:rRNA from 1 species
AUUGAACGCUGGCGGCAGGCCUAACACAUGCAAGUCGAGCGGCAGCGGGAAAGUAGCUUGCUACUUUUGCCGGCGAGCGGCGGACGGGUGAGUAAUGCCUGGGAAAUUGCCCAGUCGAGGGGGAUAACAGUUGGAAACGACUGCUAAUACCGCAUACGCCCUACGGGGGAAAGCAGGGGACCUUCGGGCCUUGCGCGAUUGGAUAUGCCCAGGUGGGAUUAGCAAGUUGGUGAGGUAAUGGCUCACCAAGGCGACGAUCCCUAGCCGGUCUGAGGGGAAGAGCAGACACACUGGACCUGAGAGCCGGUCCAGCCUCCUACGGGAGGCAGCAGUGGGGAAUAUUGCACAAUGGGGGAAACCCUGAUGCAGCCAUGCCGCGUGUGUGAAGAAGGCCUUCGGGUUGUAAAGCACUUUCAGCGAGGAGGAAAGGUCAGUAGCUAAUACGUAUCAACUGUGACGUUACUCGCAGAAGAAGCACCGGCUAACUCCGUGCCAGCAGCCGCCGUAA